CUGACGGAGCAACGCCGCGUGAGUGAUGAAGGUUUUCGGAUCGUAAAGCUCUGUUGCCAAGGAAGAACGUCUUCUAGAGUAACUGCUAGGAGAGUGACGGUACUUGAGAAGAAAGCCCCGGCUAACUACGUGCCAGCAGCCGCGGUAAUACGUAGGGGGCAAGCGUUGUCCGGAAUUAUUGGGCGUAAAGCGCGCGCAGGCGGUUCUUUAAGUCUGGUGUUUAAACCCGAGGCUCAACUUCGGGUCGCACUGGAAACUGGGGGACUUGAGUGCAGAAGAGGAGAGUGGAAUUCCACGUGUAGCGGUGAAAUGCGUAGAUAUGUGGAGGAACACCAGUGGCGAAGGCGACUCUCUGGGCUGUAACUGACGCUGAGGCGCGAAAGCGUGGGGAGCAAUCAGGAUUAGAUACCCUGGUAGUCCACGCCGUAAACGAUGAAUGCUAGGUGUUAGGGGUUUCGAUACCCUUGGUGCCGAAGUUAACACAUUAAGCAUUCCGCCUGGG
rnacentral:rRNA from 1 species